UGGGGAAUUUUGGGACAAUGGGGCGAAAGCCUGAUCCAGCAAUGCCGCGUGUGUGAAGAAGGCCUUCGGGUUGUAAAGCACUUUUGUCCGGAAAGAAAUCCUUGGCCUAAUACAGUCGGGGGAUGACGGUACCGGAAGAAUAAGCACCGGCUAACUACGUGCCAGCAGCCGCGGUAAUACGUAGGGUGCAAGCGUUAAUCGGAAUUACUGGGCGUAAAGCGUGCGCAGGCGGUUGCUAAGACCGAUGUGAAAUCCCCGGGCUCAACCUGGGAACUGCAUUGGUGACUGGCAGGCUAAGUAUGGCAGAGGGGGGUAGAAUUCCACGUGUAGCAGUGAAAUGCGUAGAGAUGUGGAGGAAUACCGAUGGCGAAGGCAGCCCCCUGGGCCAAUACUGACGCUCAUGCACGAAAGCGUGGGGAGCAAACAGGAUUAGAUACCCUGGUAG
rnacentral:rRNA from 1 species